rnacentral:rRNA from 1 species
UACGUAGGGCGCAAGCGUUGUCCGGAAUUAUUGGGCAUAAAGAGCUCGUAGGCGGUUUGUCGCGUCUGCUGUGAAAACCUAAGGCUCAACCUUGGGCUUGCAGUGGGUACGGGCAGACUAGAGUGCGGUAGGGGUGACUGGAAUUCCUGGUGUAGCGGUGGGAUGCGCAGAUAUCAGGAGGAACACCGAUGGCGAAGGCAGGUCACUGGGCCGCAACUGACGCUGGAGGAGCGGAAAAGCAUGGGGAGCGAACAGG